AUAUAUUAUGCAAAUUUUAUAUAUUGUACUCUGAAAACCAUAGAACAAUGAUGAAAUAAAUUGAAGAUGACACAAAGAAAUGAGAGACAUUUCGUGCUCAUAGAUUGGAAGGACAAAUAGCGUUCAAAUGCAGCUUAUUAUACAUAACAUGUCGAUAAAGUUGUAAAAAAAUAUGCAUUUGAGAUCAAGGAGAUACAAAAUUUUCUCAUCAGUUAAUGCAGAAUUAAGAUCCUUCACUCACCUCAUGCCAACUCCAGCAUCUGUCAGACUCCUUAAACAGCAUUAAUACUCCUUAAUUUACUAGUGGCUGACAUUGGCUCUUGGUGGUAUAAGUUCAUCACCUGUCCUCUAGAGGUCAGCCUUGUUCCAGAAAAAUAACUCAAACUGGUAAACAUGCUAGCUCACCUGGACUGUGGGAAGUAGCCUUAAGAUGUAUUGGAGGAAGUGUGUGUAUGUGUAUUUAGUCUUGCAUCAAAUAAAAAACUGGUGUUUUUUGGUAUGACAGCCUCCUGCCCUACCACUGUCCAAAGAAAGCGUACCCCUACAGUGAGUAAGUUGACAGCUAACAUUCAAUGGGAGGAGAACUCUUUAGAGAAGCCUAAAAGGGAUCUUAAAUUAGGAACUCUUGGUAUCAUGCAGAUGUUAAGCCAGAAGUACCUUGGAGAAAACAGGCACAUCUAGCUAUUUGGGUUAUUUUCUGCCAGAAGGGAUGUUGGAACAAUUUAGUAAAGAACAAGUAUUCAUUGAAGGUUGACUGUGUACCUGGAACAAUGCUCAUAGCAAUCACAUUUCUUAUGUAGAAAUAUAUUUUUAUAUAAGGACUGAGAUUUUGAUUUUUAUCCAUAUUCAUGGUGCAUCUGAACAACUUAAACAUCAAGCCAGAACAGGCUGAGAGGCCAGGGAACUGGGCUAUCAUGGCAUCACAGACAUGAGUUGCUAUGAAAAACUGAGCAAAUCAUGGCUUGGUCUCCGCGUUUCCUACCCCUGAUGGGCUGCCAGUGUCUGAGGAUCCUUGCCACCAGGGAUGAAGAAAUGUUGAAGAAAUAUCUGAGUGAUCACUGUCGCAAUGAUUUGAAAGGAGGAGUCAUCUCAACAAAGCAGGCCCUGAAGUACAGAGUGUUUGUCUCUCAAUAUGUUAUUUUCACUCAACUGUAUGUGUUUGAUGCCCAGAAGCAGUUAAUUCACUUCAAAGAGCCAGGGAAAAUGCACCAAAAGAUCUUAUCGGUAAAAUUUUUUUAA
rnacentral:lncRNA from 1 species